CUGUUGAAUCACAUUAUGCCCAAAAUGGAUUCACAUGUCAUACAUGUAAGUACAAAUCAUAGUAUCAAAAUCUCACCAAAAUAUACCAAAAAAAAGAUAAAAUAUAUAAUAAUUAAUAUGAAAUCAAAUCAUCACUUUGUCGAAAUUUAGAACUCCUUUAACAAGUAGAGUCCCUAUAACGCUAUUGCAACUAAUCAUCUGCAUAGUGUUUUCUAUUCAAAAUUCAUAUCAAAUAGUGUGGGGGUAGUGACUAGUGGGCCAUUAAGUGGCUGCAAGUUGAAGAGUGUGAAUAGAGAGUCAUUAUCUUUUACGUGGCGCUAAUUUCAUCACUUAUUUUGUUUGCAAGUGAUAGAAUAAGCAUCACAAAAUAAAAAAGUCAGUGACCAAUGUUUUUCAUCUCAUAUCAAACUUAUAAGUGAUGAAUCGUCACCCAAUAUAAUCCCAGAAUGAUAUGAUUAACACUAAAUGACAUUGAAAUCGUCACAUAUUCUUUUGACAUGUGACACAACUUAUGUUGCAUAUGUUAAAUCAAAUACCUAUUUAGGAAUAAUAUAUGAUGAAUUAAUUACUUGUUCCUGUUUCGUAAUCUAGAAUUGCAAUUCAUAACUACAAGGUAGUAUACUUAAUUCACAUUUUUCAUUAAUCAACAAUUAAAGCACAUAAGUCGAAUACAUUCAUCAAGUGUACAUCCCACAAAAUAACAUAAACAUCCCAAUAUCAAUCUAACUCAGGGUGACCUAUCUCAGUGGAAGUAAUUCGUCAUGGAAGGCACCAACACUUAUACAUAGACAACUUGAGGUCCUAACAAAAGGAAAGUCUAAUCAACAUUGAGGUGCUAACACUUAUCUAUUUGUCUAGAGCAACAUCAUUGAUCCAUUGGCCAUUCUUGUCUUUGUGGAGGAGGUGGUGGCGGAGGAGGUGCAAGUGCAUCAAUUGGAGGAGGAGGUAAGAGAUCCCUCACCUAUUUCACCCUCUUUCCUCACUACGUAGAAGCUGCCAUCUAAAAUAUGAAAAGGAAAAGUAACUAACACAUACUAAAAUGUUAAUAUAUACAAACCAUUAUACACAUAAUGACUAUUUGUAAAAUUAUAGGCCAAGAGAUUACUAUUAUAGGAUAUGAAUUAAUUUAUAAUGCACAUAUCUCACCACAAUCAUCAAUCAUAAUCACUUUAUCAUCAUCGUCGUAAGCUCACCAAACUACAAAUCCAUUGUCUAUCCAUGAAUCGAAGUCAGAUCACUUUUAGUCCUAUUAUUGAGCUACAGAUUCUGACACAUUUCAAUAGGUUGGCAUAAUAAAAUAUAUGUAAAAUUGUUUAGACAGACAUAUAAUAUGACAUGAAAAACUAGCAUGCUUUCAGCAUAUACAUGCACAAUACUUCAUAUUCAUCAUUACUAUUCAGAUGCAAUAAUACUUUUGACUAGAGGUAGCAUGAAACUAUGUCAUGUUAAAUUGCAAGUAUUAAAUACAACAUACGAACUUGAAACUUUGGUCUUGUACUUAACUAAUCUCAAGCUUAAACACCUUUAAUCCUGAAAAUCAAGAAAGUACAAGAAUUUCAUAUAUGUAUAUACAAAAGUAAAUCUACAUUAGAGCAUAAUAUAGAAAUUUUAAAAGUUGACUAACCAAUUGUAGAUGUUCAAUCAAUUUACUAAUUCUAGUUUCCUAUCCUGCCAACAAAUGAUUUUGGCUUUCUAUAUCCCAUCAAUUACAAAUUAAUUCAAAUCUUUUGUUCUCUUCCUCCAUUGUAAAGCACUUGAAGGUACUUUGGGUAGAAUAUCUGAAUCUCUUAGCAUGCCAAUGUCAAACUACAUUUUGCUCCAACAAGCGACUAGGAUGUAAAAUCCAAUUUGAUCCCAAACUUGGCAGGUUAAAAAGAUGGGGAACAUGAAAUCCAAAUUUAAGCUUGCAUAAUGCAUGUCCAACGUCCUAAAAAUGAAAUGCGUUCAAGAAAGUGGCAAAGCCAAAUUUAGCCCUCAUUGUUCUAGUUUCUUGAGAUUUUCAAAAACACCACAUGUAGCCUGCAAUACAAUGCACCAAAUCACAUAAUAAACCAAUUAUAGAAGGGCAACGUCACAGCGCCGUUGGCACUCUCAUGUUUAACUUUUGGCGCUACAUAUAUUGCGUGUAUAAAAACUAUAAAAUACUUAGUUUGAAGUGCUAAAAGCAUUGCACUUAAUAGAUAGGUAAAUAAAUGUGUGUGGGAAAGAGGAAGAGUACCAUACAAAAGGUGCUUCAGUGAGAAAUAGAAUAGGAAACACUCUAAAGAACUCGAAGGGUCCUCUGGAUUUUAGAAUCGUACACAAUACUAAAAUUGUACUUGUACAUGAACUAACAAACACCAAAAUUUAAUCAAUUCAAUCAAACUCAAAUUAAUUAACAAAAUAUUAUUUUGUUUGGGAAUUUUAUUAGACGAUAUGGGGUGAUUGAUGUUGCAUACUGGGUGAUUGAUGUUGCAUACUAGGUGACUAAUGUUACAUAUAACUGAUGUUGCAUACUGGGUGAUUGAUGCUGCCAGAUUUUAUGUUUCCUUUUUCUAUGGGAUUCUCUAUUAAGUCUAAUCCCUUAAUUUGAGAAAGAUUGACAUCUAGAUGACUUGUUGAUAGUUGUGUGCUUGCUACUUG
rnacentral:lncRNA from 1 species